UUUCCGUAGGUGAACCUGCGGAAGGAUCAUUAUUGAAUAAACCUGAUGUGGCUGUUAGCUGGCUUUUCGAAGCAUGUGCUCGUCCGUCAUCUUUAUCUCUCCACCUGUGCACAUUUUGUAGUCUUGGAUACCUCUCGAGGCAACUCGGAUUUUAGGGUCGCUGUGCUGUACAAGUCGGCUUUCCUUUCAUUUCCAAGACUAUGUUUUUAUAUACACCAAAGUAUGUUUAAAGAAUGUCAUCAAUAGGAACUUGUUUCCUACAUAAUUAUACAACUUUCAGCAACGGAUCUCUUGGCUCUC
rnacentral:misc_RNA from 1 species